UACGAAGGGGGCUAGCGUUGUUCGGAAUUACUGGGCGUAAAGCGCACGUAGGCGGUCUUUUAAGUCGGGGGUGAAAUCCUGGAGCUCAACUCCAGAACUGCCUUCGAUACUGGAAGACUCGAGUCCGGGAGAGGUGAGUGGAACUGCGAGUGUAGAGGUGAAAUUCGUAGAUAUUCGCAAGAACACCAGUGGCGAAGGCGGCUCACUGGCCCGGUACUGACGCUGAGGUGCGAAAGCGUGGGGAGCAAACAGG
rnacentral:rRNA from 1 species